rnacentral:rRNA from 1 species
CGUUAAUAAGCAUAAAAAGAGCAAUUGAUGGAUGCCUUGGCGUUAGAAGGCGAUGAAGGACGUAAUACGCUGCGAUAAGCUUCGGGGAGGUGCGAAUACCCUUUGAUCCGAAGAUUUCCGAAUGGGGAAACCCACCUGUUUUACAGGUAUCUUGUAAUGAAUACAUAGUUACAAGAAGCGAACCCGGUGAAUUGAAAUAUCUAAGUAGCCGGAGGAAAGGACAUCAACCGAGACUCCGCUAGUAGUGACGAGCGAACGCGGACCAGGCCAGUGGCUUAAUUAUAACAAUCAAAAUAAUCUGGAAAGGUUAACCAAAGUGGGUGAUAGUCCCGUAUGAGUAAAAAGUAGUUAAGUCCUUGAGUAGGGCGGGACACGUGAAAUCCUGUCUGAACAUGGGGGGACCACCCUCCAAGCCUAAGUACUCUCUAACGACCGAUAGUGAACUAGUACCGUGAGGGAAAGGUGAAAAGUACCCCGAGUAGGGGAGUGAAAUAGUUUCUGAAAUCAAUUGCUUACAAGCAGUCGGAGCCAUAGCAUCUUCGGAUGUGAGGUGACGGCGUACCUCUUGUAUAAUGGGUCAGCGAGUUAGUGUACCGUGCGAGCUUAAGGCGAUAGCUGUAGGCGUAGCGAAAGCGAGUCUGAAUAGGGCGACAAGUACGAUGCAUUAGACCCGAAACCGGGUGAUCUAGCCAUGGUCAGGUUGAAGGUGUAGUAACAUACACUGGAGGACCGAACCCACUAAUGUUGAAAAAUUAGGGGAUGAACUGUGGCUAGGGGUGAAAGGCCAAUCAAACCCGGAAAUAGCUGGUUCUCCGCGAAAUCUAUUUAGGUAGAGCGUCAGAUGAUUGUCAUUGAGGGUAGAGCACUGGAUGAGCUAGGGGGGCCCAAAGCCUUACCAAACUCAACUAAACUCCGAAUAACAAUGAACACAGUCUGGCAGACAGUCCAUGGGUGCUAAGGUCCGUGGACGAGAGGGAAACAGCCCUGACCACCAUCUAAGGUCCCCAAAUAGUGGCUAAGUGUGAAAGGAUGUUGGAAAACCAAAACAACUAGGAGGUUGGCUUAGAAGCAGCCAUCCUUUAAAGAAAGCGUAACAGCUCACUAGUCUAAUUAAGUUUUCCUGCGCCUAAAAUGUAACGGGGCUAAAGCCACUUACCGAAGAUGUGGAUGCUUACUUUAAGUAAGCGUGGUAGCGGAGCGUUCUGUAGGUCUGUGAAGGCAAAUCGUGAGGUUUGCUGGAGAUAUCAGAAGUGAGAAUGCUGACAUGAGUAGCGAUAAAAAGUGUGAAAAUCACUUUCGCCGAAAGUCCAAGGGUUCCUGCGUAAAGUUAAUCUGCGCAGGGUUAGUCGGCCCCUAAGGCGAGGCUGAAAAGCGUAGUCGAUGGGAAUCAGGUUAAUAUUCCUGAACCUGUGGGUAGUGACGAAUGAUGUAAGUUGUAUUCUCUUAUUGGAUUGAGAAUGCGGCGAAGUUGUUCCAGGAAAUAGCUCCCACUUAUAGACCGUACCCCAAACCGACACAGGUGGACAGGUAGAGUAUACCAAGGCGCUUGAGAGAACGAUACUGAAGGAACUAGGCAAAUUACACCUGUAACUUCGGGAGAAGGGUGGCCUUUGUUUGGGCAACCAGAUGAAGGUGGCACAGAGCAGGGGGUGGCGACUGUUUAUUAAAAACACAGGGCUAUGCAAACUCAAAAGAGGACGUAUAUGGCCUGACGCCUGCCCAGUGCUGGAAGGUUAAGAGGAGGUGUGCAAGCAUCGAAUUGAAGCCCCAGUGAACGGCGGCCGUAACUAUGACGGUCCUAAGGUAGCGAAAUUCCUUGUCGGGUAAGUUCCGACCCGCAUGAAUGGCGUAACGACUUCCCCGCUGUCUCCAGUAUCGACUCAGCGAAAUUGAAUUCUCCGUGAAGAUGCGGAGUACCCGCGGUUAGACGGAAAGACCCCGUGCACCUUUACUACAGCUUUGCAUUGGUAUUAGGAGUUGGAUGUGUAGGAUAGGUGGGAGGCUAUGAAGCGAAGGCGCCAGCUUUCGUGGAGCCAACCUUGAAAUACCACCCUUUCACCUCUUGAUAUCUAACCUAGCUCCUUGAAUCAGGAGCAGGGACCAUGCAUGGUGGGUAGUUUGACUGGGGCGGUCGCCUCCCAAAAGGUAACGGAGGCGUGCGAAGGUAGGCUCAGGCUGGUCGGAAAUCAGCUAUUAGAGUGCAAUGGCAUAAGCCUGCCUAACUGCGAGACUGACAAGUCAAGCAGAUACGAAAGUAGGUCAUAGUGAUCCGGUGGUUCUGCGUGGAAGGGCCAUCGCUCAACGGAUAAAAGGUACGCCGGGGAUAACAGGCUGAUGAAUCCCAAGAGUCCAUAUCGACGGAUUCGUUUGGCACCUCGAUGUCGGCUCAUCACAUCCUGGGGCUGAAGAAGGUCCCAAGGGUUCGGCUGUUCGCCGAUUAAAGUGGUACGUGAGCUGGGUUUAGAACGUCGCGAGACAGUUCGGUUCCUAUCUUCCGUGGGUGUAAGAAAUUUGAGAGGAUCUGUCCUUAGUACGAGAGGACCGGGAUGGACGUACCUCUAGUGGGCCAGUUGUCGCGCCAGCGGCAUAGCUGGGUAGCCACGUACGGACGGGAUAAACGCUGAAAGCAUCUAAGCGUGAAACCCACCUCAAAACAAGAUUUCUCCAUUAAAGUCGUGGAAGACCACCACGUUGAUAGGCCAGGUGUGUAAGCAUGGUAACAUGUUUAGCUUACUGGUACUAAUAACUUGAUUGGCUUAUUAC